CCUUGGAUAAGAAGGAUAGAGAAGAGCUAGCUGCUGCCCAGGAACUGCAGGACCAGCUGUCAGCAUGUUUUCAGAACCAGACUACUGUGAAACAACUGGAAGAACAUGUGCAACGGUAAGGGAACAACGCGGUGGGAAGAUGUGUCUGUUGCUUGCAGGGGCUGGGUGGAAGCCACAGGACACAUACUCUGAUUUUGAAGGAGACUCUUGCUUUCAGUUCUGUAACUUCAAUGCUGUUUAUCUGGGAUUGGUGCUUGUUCUGGUGGAUUUUAUGGCAAUAAGUCCUCUAUUUAUUUUUUUUUUAAGCCUUGAAAUUCAAAAUACCAAAUUGGAAGCCACUGUUCACGAACAAAGUGACAAGAUUGAAGCCCUGCUGAGAGACCUGCAAGCUUCUGCCUCAUUGCGGGAAGUGGAAGAAAAAUAUCUUAAUUCUGAGCGUUGUGUUCAGAACUUGGUGGCUACCUUGGAUAAGAAGGAAAGAGAAACAACAGCUACUGCCCUGAAACUGCAGGACCAACUGUCAGUACAUUUGGAAACUGUGAAACAACUGGAAAAACACAUGCAACACCUUGGAUUUGAAAAGAGCAGUUUGGAAGCCACUGUCCAGCAACAAAGGAACAAGAUUGAAGCCCUGCAGAGAGACCUGCAAGCCACUACCUCAGAAAAGGCAGCCAUUCAAGACUUCAUAAAACAAAGCAGACCCAGUCAUCAUGACUCACUGACCAACCAGCUAAAAGACAGAAUUAGAGAUCUUGAAUGUGAAUUGGAUAAAAUAAAAAACACUCAACAAGAGAGCACUUUACAAAAACAAUGCACACAGGCAGAAGUGGAAAAGUACAAGGAGCUAUAUCUGGAGGAAGUGAAAAUUAGCAAAUGCGAAGCAAAGGAACUGGAAAGGCAUGUCCAUAUUUUUUUGAGCGGUAAUAAUAACAGUGACUCCUGUUUCCUCAUCCACCUUCCUUCCAAAUCACACUUCUCCACAUGCUCAGUGUCAGGUGUAGAAGCAUGAGAUGGCGUAAUUCUGGUGAAAGACUCUUACCCUUCAUCAGACUUCUCUUAAUUUCUUUUUAGUGUUUCAGCAGCAACACCACAGUAGCAACAUUAUGGCAUUAACACCAUACUUUUCAAGUUGAUGUUGUUUUAACUGGCAGCUUUUUUAACAGUCUCUAUAAUCUCUUUAUCUGGCAUACCACACAAAAGAUUAAUUUCAUGUCCGUUACUCUCUGUGUAUGAAUAGGCCCCUCAGAGAACAGAACUGGAUUCUGUGAAGGAAAAACAGAAAUUAUCUCUUUUGAUUUCUGUUUAAGCAGUGGCUCUGAGUUUUCCUUGGGAAGGGAAGCCCAGAGUUGUUAUGGAGGUGACAUACCUUCCAGAAGAAGCUGU
rnacentral:lncRNA from 1 species